AAGAGGCUUAGGUUAAUCCAAACCAAGGGCCUUCAAAGCCCUAAAUAAGAACUCAGCCCUCUUAGCCUCUG
rnacentral:tRNA from 1 species